rnacentral:rRNA from 1 species
GUGCCAGAAGUUUCGGUUAGACAAAUAGAACGAGUAGUUUACAUUAAAGGUUUAAAGGAUUAGUAGACGGUAAUUAAUUAUAAUUUAUAUAUAAUUAAUAUUUAAUUAUAUAGUUACUAGAAUAAAAUAUAAUAGUUAAUGAAAAAUAGAAGUAAAAGUUAAAUUUUAUUAGAUUUAUUGGACAAUCAUUAAAUGAAAGUAUUAAGUAGAUAUUUUAUUGACGUUGAGAUAAUGAAACCUAAAUCAUCAAGUUGGACUUGUUAACCAAUUAGUUUUAGGCGUAAACGAUGUAUAUUAAAUAAAAAUAUCAUAUUUUUAUUGAAGAUAAUUUAUAAUAUACCACCUGAAAAGUAUAAUACAGAAUUGAAAUUUAAAACAAUAGGCCGUUUAGUUUAUUAACAGUGGAUCAUGUUAUUUAAU